rnacentral:rRNA from 1 species
UACGUAGGGGGCAAGCGUUGUCCGGAUUUAUUGGGCGUAAAGAGCGUGUAGGCGGUUCGGUAGGUCCGUUGUGAAAACUCGAGGCUCAACCUCGAGACGCCGAUGGAAACCCUCGAACUAGAGUCCGGAAGAGGAGAAUGGAAUUCCUGGUGUAGCGGUGAAAUGCGCAGAUAUCAGGAAGAACACCCGUGGCUAAGGCGGUUCUCUAGUACGGUACUGACGCUGAGACGCGAAAACGUGGGGAGCGAACAGG